UAGCCUGGUAGCAAUACUAGGUUGAGCCAGUGGCGAACGGGUGCGUAACACGUGAGUCAUCUGCCUGAAAGUGGGGGAUAGCUCGCCGAAAGGCGAAUUAAUACCGCAUGUGCCCCGAAGCAAUUCGGGGUAAAGCCGGGGCAACCUGGCGCUUUUAGAUGAGCUCGCGGCCUAUCAGCUUGUUGGUAAGGUAACGGCUUACCAAGGCUUCGACGGGUAGCUGGUCUGAGAGGACGACCAGCCACACUGGAACUGAGACACGGUCCAGACACCUACGGGUGGCAGCAGUCGAGAAUUUUUCUCAAUGGGGGAAACCCUGAAGGAGCGACGCCGCGUGGAGGAUGAAGGCUUUCGGGUUGUAAACUCCUGUCAUUUGGGAACAAUACCUUACGUUAACUGCGUGGAGGUUUGAUAGUACCAGAAGAGGAAGAGACGGCUAACUCUGUGCCAGCAGCCGCGGUAAUACAGAGGUCUCGAGCGUUGUUCGGAUUCAUUGGGCGUAAAGGGCGCGUAGGCUGCGGGGCAAGUCGGGUGUGAAAUCUCAGAGCUCAACUCUGAAACCGCACUCGAUACUGCUUUGCUAGAGGACUGGAGAGGAGAUUGGAAUUCACGGUGUAGCA
rnacentral:rRNA from 1 species